GUGCCAGCCGCCGCGGUAAUACCGGCAGCCCGAGUGAUGGCCGAUCUUAUUGGGCCUAAAGCGUCCGUAGCUGGCCGCGCAAGUCCAUCGGAAAAUCCACCCGCCCAACGGGUGGGCGUCCGGUGGAAACUGCGUGGCUUGGGACCGGAAGGCGCGACGGGUACGUCCGGGGUAGGAGUGAAAUCCCGUAAUCCUGGACGGACCGCCGAUGGCGAAAGCACGUCGCGAAGACGGAUCCGACAGUGAGGGACGAAAGCUAGGGUCUCGAACCGGAUUAGAAACCCCGGUAGUCC
rnacentral:rRNA from 1 species